GACGAACGCUGGCGGCGUGCUUAACACAUGCAAGUCGAGCGGAGCGGCGAACGGGUGAGUAACGCGAGAGUAACUGCCCCCCUCUCUGGGAUAACAGUUGGAAACGGCUGCUAAAACCGGAUAGUGGGGGAUGACUUGCGUCCUAUCAGCUUGUUGGUGGGGUAGUGGCCUACCAAGGCGACGUCGGGUAGCCGGCCGGAGUGGGCGACCGGCCACAUUGGGCUGAGAUACAACCCAAACACCGACGGGAGGCAGCAGUGGGGAAUAAUGCACAAUAGGGGACACCCUGAUGCAGCAACGCCGCGUGCGGGAUGACGGCCUUCAGGUUGUAAACCGCUUUCAGCCAUGACGCGGUAGUGGCAGAGGAAGCACCGGCUAACUACGUGCCAGCAGCCGCGGUAAUAC
rnacentral:rRNA from 1 species